CCUACGGGAGGCAGCAGUGAGGAAUAUUGGUCAAUGGGGGAAACCCUGAACCAGCAACGCCGCGUGAAGGAAGAUGGUUUUCGGAUUGUAAACUUCUUUUGUCAGGGAAGAUAAUGACGGUAGCAAAGGAAGAAGCACCGGCUAACUGCGUGACAGCAGCCGCGGUAAUACGGAGGGGGCGAGCGUUGACCGGAUUCACUGGGCGUAAAGGGGGCGUAGGCGGGUAAGCAAGUCAGAUGUGAAAUCCUUGGGCUUAACCAUUGAACUGCAUUUGAAACUGUUUAUCUUGAGUGUGGGAGAGGUAGGUGGAAUGCGUGGUGUAGCGGUGAAAUGCGUAGAGAUCAGGAGGAAUACGAGUUGCGAAGGCGACCUACUAGACCUUAACUGACGCUGAUGCACGAAAGCGUGGGUAGCAAACAGGAUUAGAUACCCCAGUAGUC
rnacentral:rRNA from 1 species